AGAAAGAAAGAAAUGGAUGAAUGGAUGAAAGACUGGAAAUAAAAACAAACGGACUGACUGGUAAAAGAUGACAAGACUAGACCAUGACUCAAGGUUAACCACCUCCACCUAGAUAGGAUAAAAGGGUGGAUGAAUUUAUGUGUGUUUCUUUUUACAGGAGUAGAAGGAUGACAAAAUAUUCGAGGAUGAGUGAACCUGUAAAUGCCAUUUUUGUGUCUUGUGUUGUUUACAGAGGUAACUGCGCAGCGUUACCAUUUACAUUUUCUUCCCUACAGGGUUACAGUUUUAAUGUUUUUCUAUUACAGGAUUUCUGGGCGGAUGUGUGAAGAAACGGUGUUUAUGGGUUAGGAGUUGGUGAUGCUAUUACACUGUAUUCUGGUGAGAGUGUUGGGGGAGACACACCCUGUCUUGAAAACUGUGAUUCUUUUACAGGAAAUGUUUUUAUAGCACCUAUGGGAUGUGGAUGCCUGACUACGGUCAAUGUGCUGCUAAUGUUUGCUUUGCUUUGGUGAGAAGGGUGCAGUAGAAAACAGACAAGUGACAUGAAAACAAGUAAUAAUAACAAAUAACAAAUUUGGGGACAGUUUGACCUAGGGCCCACUAACUGGCCAUUAGGGGCUCUCUCUCUCUCCUCUCUCCUCUCUCUUGGAAUAACAUUGCCCAAAGGGUGAAUAAAGCAAAUUGUGGCAAUAUUAGUGAUUUAAUGAUUGGAGAAAUCCUGAACAUGAUACUUGUCUGUUGUGCUGAAUCUUUUAUUACUCUUAUGAUUUGCAGGUGGGACCAUGAAGAUUUUUUGGUACAGAUUGCAGGUUGUUGCUCAUUAUUGAAGUGUGCUCAUAAAGGUAAAAGCUAUAUAGGGGGUCUAUCAUUUGGUCUGUGUUUUAAUAAUUUAGGUAUGGCAAAAUUAAAGGUUUCUAGACAAUUUAGGGAACGAGUGAGAAGCAUAAUUAGAUGAUCAGAAACUGAGUACUACACUCAAGUUAGAAUUAAGAAUGCCCAAUUUGUUUGAGGUCUGUUGUUCAUUUUUAUACACACAUUGCAAAUGUGCUUAUAAGGAGCUGGCACUUAGUCUGUGAAGGUCAAAAGCUUCAUCCGACAACGGAUCGGAUUGAUAUAUUGGAGCUAUUGACUUCACGUGCAGAGGGUUAAAUGCAUGCACGCUUACACACAUAAGCAUGGCAUAGGAUUGGAAUAAACAAAGUCAACAACAUUAGGUUAGGAGAGCCAGCGCAGGAGAGGUGUUGGCUUUCUGUCUCUUGCAGAGAAGGGAACAGACACCAGACGGGGACACGGAGAUAUGGGGAUCCUUCACAGCAACUGGGGUCAAGUGUCAUGGCCUUGGGGCUCCUUGAGAAGAUGGAUCCCAUAACCACAGCGAUAACCAGGAAGGGGUUGGCGAAAACUAGGAACACCGGAGACCAACGAGAUCUGUGUAACGACUGAAGGGUGGUAUAACCCCGGAAGUCGAAGAAAGAAGAAUCUGAGGGCGUUUCUUCACUCCAAGAGGAGGUGGUAAAGGGGCCUGAAGCGUGUCAGGCUGAAACUCGAGUCCGAAGCUAAAAGAACAGCUGGGUUGUGGGAAAAUUGGAAAACAACGGAGGCGUUGGGAUUGAUAAGUGUCAUAACGUGUUUGUUUGGUUUGGAAAUACAUCCUGGUGUGAGUUGGGCUGGCAAGCCAGCCCAAAGAGGAGGAAUGUGACCAGGAGAUAUUUUAUUUUGUAUUCUUAUGAUCACAGUUAUAAUCAGAAGUAUCAAUCAUUAAUCAUUUACCAUUGUUGAACCAGUUGACAGAAUAAUCUUUGAACCAUAUCUAUGUUAACAUUAAUCUACACAGAUUAUCAGUACUUUAAUCAGUCUAUUGUUGUUCUGUACUAUUCAUGUUAUUUGCUUAAAGCUGUUUCACAGUUCUGUAAUCACUCAGAAGCCUGUGGGCCUGCUGGACCCUGCCUUGGUUCUAUGUUCAGUUCUGCACGUACACAGGCCUUUAGUAAGAAUAGGAGGGUCGUCUGAGGACAGAUAUACUUUCACAAAAGGCACGAAUGUAAUACACACUUGUUUUCUCUAACAACUAACAGUUGAUGUCCAUAUUAGGUAAACUCUCUGAACAGGCCCAAAACUGUUAUCAUUUCCAGUAAGGUCUGACUGUGUUACGUCAUCAUGGGAUCAUGGGUUAUAUAAGGAUGGGGAGCGGUCCACUCUUUGGAGAUCUGUGGCUGUACGCUUGUCUUCCCAUGCUUCUGUCUUAGAAGUGUGCAAUAAAAUCACUAUGUUUGUCACCUA